AAUCAACGCUGGCGGCGUGCCUAACACAUGCAAGUCGAACGCGAGAGGGGCUUCGGCCCUGAUUGAGUGGCAAACGGGUGAGUAACGCGUGGGUGACCUACCUUCGAGUGGGGGAUAACGUUCCGAAAGGGACGCUAAUACCGCAUAACAUCCUGUCUUUGGACAGAUGGAGAUCAAAGCCGGGAUCGUAAGACCUGGCGCUUGAGGAGGGGCCCGCGUCCGAUUAGCUAGUUGGUGGGGAAUGGCUCACCAAGGCAACGAUCGGUAGCCGGCCUGAGAGGGCGGACGGCCACACUGGGACUGAGACACGGCCCAGACUCCUACGGGAGCAGCAGUGGGAAUUGUUCGCAAUGGGCGCGAGCCUGACGACGCAACGCCGCGUGAAGGAUGAAGGUCUUCGGAUUGUAAACUUCUGUUGA
rnacentral:rRNA from 1 species